rnacentral:lncRNA from 1 species
CAAAGCUAGAGAAUCUGUAGAACCAUCAAAAGAGCAGUUGCUUUAGAAGCCGUUGUCAUAUAAAUAUAGCACCAGUCAAACAUGUAACUGCAUCUUUUUAUCAUUGAAAAAAAUAUAUUGAUAUAAUAUAUAAACAAAAUGGUUUUAUAACUUUUGGGUAUUCCAGGAAAAAAGUGUAUGGGAGGGUUUGACUCCACAUGCUAUUUUGUUAGAAGUAUAUAUAUUGGAAG